CCGAGCCUGGAGGAAGCCCAGAUCGUCACACCCCGUCCGUCCUCUUCCCAGGUACCCUGCGUCUCCCCCACCAGUCCUUGGAUUUCUCAGUGCAGUACCCUGACCCUGGGGAGGGAGCUCCCGAUGCCAGGUUUUCUCCCUCCUACCGACGGGAUGGACAUGAGGUAGAGCAAGCUCCGGGAGUUGGUGAAGGACAGGGAGGCCUGGCAUGCUGCAGUUCACGGGGUCGCAAAGAGUCUGACACAACUGAGCGGCUGAACUGAGACUGCACUCCCAGGAGAAGCCUCCAGGGGGCGCCCUCAUCCCCCAAGUCCAGAGGGCCUAGGGUGCAGAGUCAGCGCUGGGCACCAAGCCUGGGGUGAUGGUUGGAACACAGGAACGAGCUCUGUAACCUAGAGAAAUAGCUUGGCUACUCCUAGCCUGUCUACUCAUGUGUCAGGAGGAAGAAUGAUAGCUAUUUGUUCCCGGGUCUACUUACCACAUCGGGUUGCAGGGGCGGAGUAAUGGAGGCCCUUGAGCCUGCCACUGGGCUUUCCCUUGUGGCUCAGCUGCCUGCUGCUAGGCGGCUCCCGUCUCAGGGAGGAGCCCUGCAUCUGGGCCCUGGGCAGAGAAGAGGACAGGGCUUCUUGUCAGGGAAAGGGAACGGGCCUAAAGUCCCCCCAACAGGCUGAUCGCUGGCCCGGACCCCAGCUGUUUGGAAUUCAGUUCACAGACGAGGAAGCGGGAGCCGUUCCAGAUUUCCCCGCCUCCACCCCCACCCCGCACGCCCCCUCUGCAGGACAGUCUGAGUGAACUGAGGGACUGCACACCGGAAAAGCAGCUCUCCAGGGGCUCUCCAGGGGCUCAGGUCCCGGCUGAGUCACCUGCCUGGAUGUCCAUUUCAUAUGGCCUGUUACUCACUAACCAAGAACAUGACUUAAUUCCCCGUGGGCGAUCCCACCAGGCACAUAAAGAAAUGCGAGAUGACUGGGACACAGAA